rnacentral:rRNA from 1 species
UGGGGAAUAUUCCGCAAUGGACGAAAGUCUGACGGAGCAAUGCCGCGUGAGUGAUGAAGGCCUUUGGGUCGUAAAACUCUGUCUUCGGGGAUGAAACCAGUAUAGGUUAAUACCCUGUACUAUUGACAGUACCCGAGGAGGAAGCCCCGGCUAACUACGUGCCAGCAGCCGCGGUAAUACGUAGGGGGCGAGCGUUGUCCGGAAUCAUUGGGCGUAAAGGGCGUGUAGGCGGUUUUGUAAGUCAGAUGUGAAAACUUGGGGCUCAACUUCAAGCCUGCAUCUGAAACUACAUCACUUGAGGGCAGGAGAGGAAAGUGGAAUUCCAUGUGUAGCGGUGAAAUGCGUAGAUAUAUGGAAGAACACCAGUGGCGAAGGCGACUUUCUGGACUGAACCUGACGCUGAGGCGCGAAAGCCAGGGGAGCGAACG